rnacentral:rRNA from 1 species
UGGGGAAUUUUGCGCAAUGGGGGAAACCCUGACGCAGCAACGCCGCGUGGGUGAUGAAGGCCUUCGGGUCGUAAAGCCCUGUCGGGAGGGAAGAAAUGAUUGAGAGCUAAUACCUCUUGGUCUUGACGGUACCUCCGAAGGAAGCACCGGCUAACUCCGUG